GCGUCCGUAGCUCAGCCUGGAUAGAGCGUUGGCCUCCGGAGCCAAAGGUCACGGGUUCAAAUCCUGUCGGGCGCG
rnacentral:tRNA from 1 species